GUGCUCACUUUGGCAGCACAUGCACUAAAAUUAGAAAGAUACAGUGAAGAUUAGCAUGGCCCCCUGCACAAGGAUGAUAUGUAAAUUCAUGAAAUAUUCCAUAUUUUU
ensembl:snRNA U6 U6 spliceosomal RNA